rnacentral:rRNA from 1 species
GAUGAACGCUGGCGGCGUGCUUAACACAUGCAAGUCGAACGGUGAAGCAGAGCUUGCUCUGUGGAUCAGUGGCGAACGGGUGAGUAACACGUGAGCAACCUGCCCCUGACUCUGGGAUAAGCGCUGGAAACGGCGUCUAAUACUGGAUAUGAGCUGCGACCGCAUGGUCAGCAGUUGGAUAGAUUUUUCGGUCUGGGAUGGGCUCACGGCCUAUCAGCUUGUUGGUGAGGUAAUGGCUCACCAAGGCGUCGACGGGUAGCCGGCCUGAGAGGGUGACCGGCCACACUGGGACUGAGACACGGCCCAGACUCCUACGGGAGGCAGCAGUGGGGAAUAUUGCACAAUGGGCGAAAGCCUGAUGCAGCAACGCCGCGUGAGGGAUGACGGCCUUCGGGUUGUAAACCUCUUUUAGCAGGGAAGAAGCGAAAGUGACGGUACCUGCAGAAAAAGCGCCGGCUAACUACGUG